rnacentral:tRNA from 1 species
GGGGUUGUGGUUUAGUGGUAGACCGCUCACCUAGCACGUGUGAGGCACUGGGUUUGAUCCUCAGCACCACCU